rnacentral:rRNA from 1 species
GGUUAAGCGACUAAGCGUACACGGUGGAUGCCCUGGCAGUCAGAGGCGAUGAAGGACGUGCUAAUCUGCGAUAAGCGUCGGUAAGGUGAUAUGAACCGUUAUAACCGGCGAUUUCCGAAUGGGGAAACCCAGUGUGUUUCGACACACUAUCAUUAACUGAAUCCAUAGGUUAAUGAGGCGAACCGGGGGAACUGAAACAUCUAAGUACCCCGAGGAAAAGAAAUCAACCGAGAUUCCCCCAGUAGCGGCGAGCGAACGGGGAGGAGCCCAGAGCCUGAAUCAGUGUGUGUGUUAGUGGAAGCGUCUGGAAAGGCGCGCGAUACAGGGUGACAGCCCCGUACACAAAAAUGCACAUGCUGUGAGCUCGAUGAGUAGGGCGGGACACGUGGUAUCCUGUCUGAAUAUGGGGGGACCAUCCUCCAAGGCUAAAUACUCCUGACUGACCGAUAGUGAACCAGUACCGUGAGGGAAAGGCGAAAAGAACCCCGGCGAGGGGAGUGAAAAAGAACCUGAAACCGUGUACGUACAAGCAGUGGGAGCACGCUUAGGCGUGUGACUGCGUACCUUUUGUAUAAUGGGUCAGCGACUUAUAUUCUGUAGCAAGGUUAACCGAAUAGGGGAGCCGAAGGGAAACCGAGUCUUAACUGGGCGUUAAGUUGCAGGGUAUAGACCCGAAACCCGGUGAUCUAGCCAUGGGCAGGUUGAAGGUUGGGUAACACUAACUGGAGGACCGAACCGACUAAUGUUGAAAAAUUAGCGGAUGACUUGUGGCUGGGGGUGAAAGGCCAAUCAAACCGGGAGAUAGCUGGUUCUCCCCGAAAGCUAUUUAGGUAGCGCCUCGUGAAUUCAUCUCCGGGGGUAGAGCACUGUUUCGGCAAGGGGGUCAUCCCGACUUACCAACCCGAUGCAAACUGCGAAUACCGGAGAAUGUUAUCACGGGAGACACACGGCGGGUGCUAACGUCCGUCGUGAAGAGGGAAACAACCCAGACCGCCAGCUAAGGUCCCAAAGUCAUGGUUAAGUGGGAAACGAUGUGGGAAGGCCCAGACAGCCAGGAUGUUGGCUUAGAAGCAGCCAUCAUUUAAAGAAAGCGUAAUAGCUCACUGGUCGAGUCGGCCUGCGCGGAAGAUGUAACGGGGCUAAACCAUGCACCGAAGCUGCGGCAGCGACGCUUAUGCGUUGUUGGGUAGGGGAGCGUUCUGUAAGCCUGUGAAGGUGUGCUGUGAGGCAUGCUGGAGGUAUCAGAAGUGCGAAUGCUGACAUAAGUAACGAUAAAGCGGGUGAAAAGCCCGCUCGCCGGAAGACCAAGGGUUCCUGUCCAACGUUAAUCGGGGCAGGGUGAGUCGACCCCUAAGGCGAGGCCGAAAGGCGUAGUCGAUGGGAAACAGGUUAAUAUUCCUGUACUUGGUGUUACUGCGAAGGGGGACGGAGAAGGCUAUGUUGGCCGGGCGACGGUUGUCCCGGUUUAAGCGUGUAGGCUGGUUUUCCAGGCAAAUCCGGAAAAUCAAGGCUGAGGCGUGAUGACGAGGCACUACGGUGCUGAAGCAACAAAUGCCCUGCUUCCAGGAAAAGCCUCUAAGCAUCAGGUAACAUCAAAUCGUACCCCAAACCGACACAGGUGGUCAGGUAGAGAAUACCAAGGCGCUUGAGAGAACUCGGGUGAAGGAACUAGGCAAAAUGGUGCCGUAACUUCGGGAGAAGGCACGCUGAUAUGUAGGUGAAGUCCCUCGCGGAUGGAGCUGAAAUCAGUCGAAGAUACCAGCUGGCUGCAACUGUUUAUUAAAAACACAGCACUGUGCAAACACGAAAGUGGACGUAUACGGUGUGACGCCUGCCCGGUGCCGGAAGGUUAAUUGAUGGGGUCAGCGCAAGCGAAGCUCUUGAUCGAAGCCCCGGUAAACGGCGGCCGUAACUAUAACGGUCCUAAGGUAGCGAAAUUCCUUGUCGGGUAAGUUCCGACCUGCACGAAUGGCGUAAUGAUGGCCAGGCUGUCUCCACCCGAGACUCAGUGAAAUUGAACUCGCUGUGAAGAUGCAGUGUACCCGCGGCAAGACGGAAAGACCCCGUGAACCUUUACUAUAGCUUGACACUGAACAUUGAGCCUUGAUGUGUAGGAUAGGUGGGAGGCUUAGAAGUGUGGACGCCAGUCUGCAUGGAGCCGACCUUGAAAUACCACCCUUUAAUGUUUGAUGUUCUAACGUUGACCCGUAAUCCGGGUUGCGGACAGUGUCUGGUGGGUAGUUUGACUGGGGCGGUCUCCUCCUAAAGAGUAACGGAGGAGCACGAAGGUUGGCUAAUCCUGGUCGGACAUCAGGAGGUUAGUGCAAUGGCAUAAGCCAGCUUGACUGCGAGCGUGACGGCGCGAGCAGGUGCGAAAGCAGGUCAUAGUGAUCCGGUGGUUCUGAAUGGAAGGGCCAUCGCUCAACGGAUAAAAGGUACUCCGGGGAUAACAGGCUGAUACCGCCCAAGAGUUCAUAUCGACGGCGGUGUUUGGCACCUCGAUGUCGGCUCAUCACAUCCUGGGGCUGAAGUAGGUCCCAAGGGUAUGGCUGUUCGCCAUUUAAAGUGGUACGCGAGCUGGGUUUAGAACGUCGUGAGACAGUUCGGUCCCUAUCUGCCGUGGGCGCUGGAGAACUGAGGGGGGCUGCUCCUAGUACGAGAGGACCGGAGUGGACGCAUCACUGGUGUUCGGGUUGUCAUGCCAAUGGCACUGCCCGGUAGCUAAAUGCGGAAGAGAUAAGUGCUGAAAGCAUCUAAGCACGAAACUUGCCCCGAGAUGAGUUCUCCCUGACCCUUUAAGGGUCCUGAAGGAACGUUGAAGACGACGACGUUGAUAGGCCGGGUGUGUAAGCGCAGCGAUGCGUUGAGCUAACCGGUACUAAUGAACCGUGAGGCUUAACCUU